UCGGUGCGCGCCGCUCCGCUCCCUGGUGUGUUGAUUCUUCCCCCAGCUGCUGCCUAAUGGAGUCCAGGCGCUCGCGUCACAGGAAAUGCCUAUACUGCCCUCCUCACUCACUUCCGGUGGCAGCUCCCUUAAUGAACCCUUCAUUACUGUCCCCCAAAUGUGCUGGGCUCAUUUCUCUCUGAGGGUGAUCACACCCUCCCACCUUCUCUCCACCCUUCUGAUUCCAGUCCAUCUUUUGAGACCGGGCUCAUUUGGGACCUGCUGAGGGGAGCCUUUCCUGACUCCCAGCCUCCUAGCCCUUGUCUUUCUAUGAACAGCCCUGUGCUAGGUUCCAAAUCAGAGGUAACUUCUGGUCCAAGAGAUAUUUGAGCAAAGGCUGUCAGGAUCAUAUUUAAACCCUCCCUUUGGAAGAAUCGGGAAGAGGGUGGCUCCAGAAGUCUGUUUAGUCUGUUUGCUUUUCUGGUACCCGUGGCUGAAGCUUGGGCCGGGAGGCCUGCGGAGGAGUGUUUCCGCUGGAGUUUCGACAAGCACAGCCAUUCGUCACUGCCUCGGAAGCUGCUUGGCCACACAGGCCUGGCUUCGAUACACGUAGGAAAGUUCCAUCCAUGAAAAGCACCAAUUUGUAGUGGGCCUGAACCCUUCCUUGGACCCAGGGCCAGAAAUGGAUGUGGUCCAGGGAACAGCCUCGACAAGUGCCAACUGGGACAUGUGGCAAAGAUUCUCCUUUCUUUUUGACAGUCUUCAGCUGUGCCCUCCCAGGGAAGAGGCUUGCUCAUUCUGGAGCCACGGUCAUUGUCCUCUCCUUGCACAAGGCUGUGUUGUAACUGCUUCAACAUCCCCCUUCCACAGGGACGCAUGUUGGUGAUCCAAGAAGAUACAGGAUGAGGCUUGCCAUGGGCGGCACCUGGAGUCCUCCACGGGAUAUCGGCUCCACUAGAGCCAGGUGUGUGGUGCCAGCAAGGCCGCCUGCGCUUGGUCCCUGGAGGAGGAGCAGUGUAAUUACCCCUGGGCGGCAGCCUGAAGGCUGUGGUGGCAGACAGCCCACUCCCUACUCUCAAGCAUGGAGGGUGAAUGUUCUCUGGGUCCGCAGCUCUAGACGAUAGCCAGGUCUGGCCUGGUGAAGGACGUGUGUGUGAGGGGUCCAGCUGGAAGUGAGGAAGAGACUAUGAUGUUAAAGGUUAAGUAGGAAGAGCUACUCAUACAGUAUUGGAUUUUCUCUUCUAAAGCAAGGAUCGCCCUAACUGAGCCCUUUUCUGGUGUGUGUCCUCCUCUUGCCUUCGCCCCUCCUCUGGUCUCCCCAGUGAGGAGGAGAGGCAGCCCUGGCUGCCCAAAGUAGCCUCACGGCUGGGAGGACGGACUCCGCCCAGCCGUUUUUAUGGUUCCUGUGCGAAAUUUAACUGCGCUUUACAAGAGCUUCUCCAGAGGUCAGAGGGUACCCAACUGAAAGGGAAUCUAUAUUCUGGGAAUUUAAUAUUUUUCCCUGCAGCUCCCCUUAUCCCUCCCCCGCCAACCCUAAAGAGAAGAGAUAUUGGGCCAAAGGGCCAAACAGUCCUAUUUAGUGAUCUCGCCGUCUCAUUUCCAACCAGGCACUUUUCCCUUCUUGUAACUUUCCAGUUUUAUAGAGAACAGUAAAGCCUGUGCCUGCGUGGAUUGUGGAAAGCUCUGGGCUGCUCUGAAAGAAAUGGACAUGCCUCAGCACUUGACUGUCCUGAUGCGUAACCUGUACUGUGGACAAGAAGCCGCGGUCAGGACAGAGUAUGGAGAGACGGGAUGGUUUCCUUUAGGCAAAGAUGUCAGACAAGGGUGCAUUUAAUCUCCUCAUCUGUUUCAUCUGUACGCAGAACAUAUCAUACGAAAGGCUGGGCUAGACUCAGAUGAAGGAAGAAUGAAAACUGGUGGAAGAAAUAUCAACAAUCUAAGAUAUGCAGAUGAUUCUGUUUUACUGGCAGAAACAGCAAUGACUUGAAACGACUUCUGAUAAAAGUGAAAGAAGAAAGCGCAGGAGCAGGACUGCAUUUGAACAUCAGGAAGACAAAGAUCAUGACUACAGAAGAACUGUACGACUUUAACGUAGACAGUGAAGAUAUUGAAAUUGUUCAAGAUUCUGUUUACCUUGGUUCUGUUAUCAAUUUAGCUGAGACUGCAGUGAAGAAAUCAAGAGAAGACUGACUCGGAAGGGCAGCAAUGAAAGAAUUAGGAAAGAUCAUCAAGUGUAAGGAAGCGUCCUUAGAGACCAAGGCCAAGGGUAUCCACACCCUCGUGUUCCCAGUUACUAAGUAGGGUGCCAAAGCUGGACAGUGAAGAAGGCUGACAGGAAAAAUACUGAUUGAUUUGAAGUGUGGUCUUGGAGGAGAGCCCUAUGGAUACCCUGGCCUGCCAGAAAGAAGAAGUGGGUCCCAGAGCAAGUUAAGCCUGAUCUAUGGCUGGAGGCAAAAAUGAUAAAACUGAGGCUGUCCUACUUUGGGCUCAUCAUGAGAAGGCAGGAUUUUUUGGAAAAGACAAUAAUGCUGGGAAAAGUAGAAGGCAGCAGGAAAAGAGGAAGAGCAAAUAUGAGAUGGAUUGACUCCAUAAAGGAAGCCAUAGUCAUGGGCCCGCAGGAGCUGAACAGGGCUAUGAGCACAGGACACUGUGGACAUCACUUAUUCCUGGGGUCGCCAGGAGUCCCAACCGACUGGACAGCACGUAACAACUUUCCAGUCGUAAUUUGAGGAAUACUAUUGCUAACUCUGACACCUGGUGGUCAUUUCAAAAACUGCACUCUGGGAGGCUUGAACAUCCACUUUUUAUCAUUUAAUUGCUUUAGUUUUUCCAGUUUCAGUGUAAAUAAAAUGUACUUUAUAAAUUA